rfam:Myxococcus stipitatus DSM 14675, complete genome.
GGCGGGCCCCGUGUCGGGUCCGCCCUUCCCACCCGGUACCUGAUACGGCCGGAGUGG